UUUAGAGUGGAAGGACUAGACAUAUCUGAUGACGAUGGUGACAGAACACUUCAUCAAAUAUUCUUGACCGGCCCCUCCCAAGGCUUAACGUUACCCUGGUUUACGUGAUGACGCAAGAUGUAUAUGAGCGCAAGCGGCGGGAUGGUUCUUCUUUUACCGCCAUAAGGCGGAGUCUUUUGCUUUGGGACCGCUUCACUGCGUAGAUCCACCGUCAAGCCGCCAGCUAAAGCAGCAUCACUCGAGACUUGGCUAAGAUGGCAGACAUGGACAAGUAAGUGCAUCCUCUCUGUUGAUUGGCUGUGCAGCCUGAGUUCUGUGCAGCAGGAUAGACACUUAUUGCACAGUUGUCCUAUACUAAAACAAUCCCACCUCUGCAUCGUUACCGGGCCGUAUCAAUUCGAGUUGAUUUCUUUACAUAUCUUGGUGUUAGCCUUAGGUCCAAUGUUCGUCUAGCCGAAAGGCUGAUUAGCUGUGUUUGUUUGUCACACACACACACACACCCACACACACCUACCGAUGGUAGUUCGCAAAACAAGUACCACUGGAUUGGUGGCAAUAAUAAUAUUAUUCUGCCAGGUCAGCAUAUGCUACUUUGUGGUUAGCAUUUAAUUUAGAAUAUCUUGGGGAAGCCUUUCCCUGUA
rnacentral:lncRNA from 1 species